rnacentral:lncRNA from 1 species
UUUAAUUCUUCCAGUUUAAAAAUCCUCCUCAGCCAUCCAAUUUAUUUAGUCAAUCUUGUGCAAUAAGGAAUUCAUUUUAUCCUUUCCACCGCCUCACUUUUUUAUAAAAUUAGCUUCUCUCAUUUUCUGGAAAUAUUUCGAAAAUACAGCUAGCCAAUUUUGAUUUCCACAGCAGCAAAUUUAGCAGCAAAUUUUGAAGCAGCCAACUUUGAAGCAACAAAGUUUGAUUGAUCUCUUUUCACACUUUCACACGUUCUAUGUCAAAUAUUUCAAUCUAUUUAAACAUCAAUGUAUCAUUCUCAAAUUCAGAAAUCAACAAAAAAAUUCACUCAAAUAUUUCCAAUUCGCAGCAACUGAUUUACUUCACUCAUUCAAGCUGGUAAUUUUAAUAACUUUUGUAAAGUUAUUUCAUUUCAAGCAUAUCAAUAGUUUUCUUCAUUUUCGCCAAAACCAAGGCUAAACACAAAAACUUUGUUUUCAAAAAAUCCAAUCAUGCAUACAUCUAUUUUUCUCUAAUUUAUAUAUUGCUAAAUACAUGAAAAAGAAAAUAGAAAUAGAAGAAGAAAAAGGGGAAAUAGUGGGUGAGUGGCUGCUGCCGAUCCGGGAAAACGGAAGGGAACCGACUGAAAAGCUGCGCCGCGCGCUGUUGCUGGCGGAGGGCGGCGACCGGCGGACGGAAUCAGGGGCGGUGGCGGAAGGAGACAGGAGCAGGGCGACGGUGCUAUGGUCUCGACCGUGCGUCUCUGAUCGGGAAGAGGGAGAAGGCGGCCUGACCGGCUUGUGCUGUCGGCCAGGAGGAGGCGCUGGCAGGCGGCGAGGGUCGCCGGAGAAGAGGUAGGCGCGGUGUGGAGAGCAGACCGAGGGAGAGGGGGAGAAGGGAAAAAGGAGGGCUGCUGGAGAAGGGUGCGUGAGUGUGCUGGUGAUUUUGUGUGUGGAGUUUUAAAUUAGGUUGAAGAGUAGUGGGCUUAGGGUCUCUUGAUAAAUGGAUGUAGGAAUGGGCUUUUAAAAGUGGGUUAAUAAUGUUUUGGGCUUGAUUUACUUUUUAUUGUGGGUUUGAAAUGUUUAGCCAAUAAAUUAUGGUAGUAAUAAUUCUUAAUAUGAUUUCAAAUUAUGUAUUAAGUUAAAUUUAUUUUACAAGAAAAUAUUUUAUUAUUUAAACUAUUAAACCAAUGAUUUCUACAUUAUCUUAUAGAAUAAAUUCAUAAAGUUUAAAUUAUUUUAUAGAUUCAAAUAGGCCCUUAUAUUUUGAAUUUAUCUGACUAGGUGCGGCGCGACUAGGACGUGAACUUUAAAUUAUUGCAGUUAAUUUUCAAAGCUCAAAAGUUCAAGUUUCAG